GGCGCGAGGGCCUAUUAUUACUGCCUUUUAUUGGCAUGUGUUUUAUGGCUACGGAAGAAAUAAAUCUGGAAUUUUAUGGUAGGAAUUGUAAAAUGGCUGUGAAUUUGCUACUCGCUUGAUUUGAUUUUCCUUUUAACGUGAUCAAUCAUCUUGAGCAUCUUGAGCUGUUAUUUGCUGGGCUCACUAGAGUGUCAGAUAAUUCCUUGGUACACCCAAUUAAGCCUGGUUUCAGAAGGCAAGAUUCUUGUUAACUUUGGACUUUUUAGCCUACCAAUUCACAGACGAAUCUGUAUUUUUGUAGCUUCCUUGUCAGUCAGAUUUGUAUUAAUUUUAGAAUGUACAUCCGGGAUUCA
rnacentral:misc_RNA from 1 species